CACGGAGUUAGCCGGUGCUUCUUCUGCGAGUAACGUCAAUCACUAAGGUUAUUAACCUUAAUGCCUUCCUCCUCGCUGAAAGUGCUUUACAACCCGAAGGCCUUCUUCACACACGCGGCAUGGCUGCAUCAGGCUUGCGCCCAUUGUGCAAUAUUCCCCACUGCUGCCUCCCGUAGGAGUCUGGACCGUGUCUCAGUUCCAGUGUGGCUGGUCAUCCUCUCAGACCAGCUAGGGAUCGUCGCCUAGGUGAGCCAUUACCCCACCUACUAGCUAAUCCCAUCUGGGCACAUCUGAUGGCAAGAGGCCCGAAGGUCCCCCUCUUUGGUCUUGCGACAUUAUGCGGUAUUAGCUACCGUUUCCAGUAGUUAUCCCCCUCCAUCAGGCAGUUUCCCAGACAUUACUCACCCGUCCGCCGCUCGCCGGCAAAGUAGCAAGCUACUUCCCGCUGCCGCUCGACUUGCAUGUGUUAGGCCUGCCGCAGCGUUA
rnacentral:rRNA from 1 species